rnacentral:rRNA from 1 species
UACGUAGGGACCGAGCGUUGUCCGGAAUCAUUGGGCGUAAAGAGCGUGUAGGCGGCCACUUAAGUCCUGCGUGAAAUCUUGCGGCUCAACCGCAAGCGGUCGUGGGAAACUGGGUGGCUAGAGUGCGGAAGAGGAGAGUGGAAUUCCUGGUGUAGCGGUGGAAUGCGCAGAUAUCAGGAAGAACACCCGUGGCGAAGGCGGCUCUCUGGAACGGAACUGACGCUGAGACGCGAAAGCGUGGGGAGCAAACAGG